GUCGCCGUCGCCGUCGCGGCCGCUUCCACCUCCCGCCCGCUUGGCUGCUCCCGUCUCUUCCCGCCUUGGUCCGCCCAUGCCGACGGCGUCUCUCUCGCGCUGGCCAAAAGCUUUCCUUGCUUUUGACGAACUCCAAGUACGAGAAAAAUAUAGUGCUGCUUGGUCAGAUUUGAACUUAAGAUGAUCUAUUUUUAUUGCUCACGUUUAAGUUUUCUCUUCCAAUCAACAGGUUUAGACCCAGAGAUUGCUUAACAAUGAAGAAAGUGGGAAAUGUUGGAGGGCUCAUGGUUAUGGAAGAUUUCAAAGACCUCAACUAACUGCUUCCUCCUGGACUCUGCAUCAUUAGAUACGUCACUGCUUUGAUUGGCAAACCACCAUUAUUUGAAGGUUGGAUAUCCCAAGUCCUAAACAACUACAUCAUUAUGAGUCUGAUACUGAGUUGGUGGCGGUGGCGGCAUCCAAAGGAAACUUUUGACAGCUUCAUGGGGGAGGAGCAAAUCAUGGUUUCCACGACCCCUUUGAGUUUCUCCGUAUUUCUUACCAUUUCCAAGGGCCAUGGAUAUGCAUUGCAAAGUUGAUAUGGCUCACAACAAUCUUUCAAUGGCAGUAUUUCAUUAUGUACAUUCUAAACCUCAUCAUUCAAUCUAGCAACACCCAUAAGCCAAGUAGUGGGCAGAGGAGAUCAAGAGGGACCAACAAUGCUGUUAGCUAUUUUAUAAUGAAUGUGUCUGUAAGCUUCCACCAAACCCUGUUACAUAGGGACAUGAUCAUUUGCUGCAGAAGGAACUGUAAAAUGUAUCCUUUAAUAGUGAGGGAGUCAUAUGACUCUCCAAAAUUUUUAUUACUAUUGAAGAGGAAGUUGAUUAAAGACAUGAACUUGCAACCUUUA